rnacentral:rRNA from 1 species
UGGGGAAUAUUGCACAAUGGGCGCAAGCCUGAUGCAGCCAUGCCGCGUGUAUGAAGAAGGCCUUCGGGUUGUAAAGUACUUUCAGCGGGGAGGAAGGGAGUAAAGUUAAUACCUUUGCUCAUUGACGUUACCCGCAGAAGAAGCACCGGCUAACUCCGUGCCAGCAGCCGCGGUAAUACGGAGGGUGCAAGCGUUAAUCGGAAUUACUGGGCGUAAAGCGCACGCAGGCGGUUUGUUAAGUCAGAUGUGAAAUCCCCGGGCUCAACCCGGGAACUGCAUCUGAUACUGGCAAGCUUGAGUCUCGUAGAGGGGGGUAGAAUUCCAGGUGUAGCGGUGAAAUGCGUAGAGAUCUGGAGGAAUACCGGUGGCGAAGGCGGCCCCCUGGACGAAGACUGACGCUCAGGUGCGAAAGCGUGGGGAGCAAACA